rnacentral:rRNA from 1 species
UACGUAGGGAGCAAGCGUUGUCCGGAAUCAUUGGGCGUAAAGCGCGCGUAGGCGGCCGGUCAAGUGCGGCGUGAAAGUCCUGGGCUCAACCCGGGGACAGCGCUGCGGACUGUUCGGCUGGAGUCCGGAAGAGGGUGGUGGAAUUCCGAGUGUAGAGGUGAAAUUCGUAGAUAUUCGGAGGAACACCGGUGGCGACGGCGGCCACCUGGUCCGGUACUGACGCUCAAGCGCGAAAGCGUGGGGAGCAAACAGG